rnacentral:rRNA from 1 species
GAAUGGUUGGACGAAAAAUAUACUUUCUUUAUUUUAUAUAAAUAAAUUAAUUUUUUAGUUAAAAAGCUAAGAUUUUUUUAUAGGACGAGAAGACCCUAUAGAACUUUAUUUUCUACAUAUAUAUAUUUUAUAGAUUUUUAAAAUAUUAUAUAUUAAUAGUUAAUUUAAUUGGGGUGAUUGAAAAAAUUAUAUAACUUUUUCUAUUUCUAUCAUUUAUUUAUGAUGUUUUUGAUCCUUUAAUAUGGAAAAUAAGAUUAAGUUACCUUAGGGAUAACAGCGUUAUUUUUUUGGAGAGUUCUUAUCGAUAAAAAAGU